GUCAAGACUUUUUGUCUUCUGGGAAACAAAACUCAUCAUCAGACAGGAAUGGUCACACUGACCACCUUCCAAAGAACCUGACCACAGUCACGAGGUUGGUAUUUUGUACAGCUCAUUGGACGCAUUGCUUCACGCUGGUAAGACGCUGACAUUGAAGGAGAAGAGAGAGACCUGUACAUUCAUGAGCGGCAUGGGAAAGAUAAUUAGGAAACAUAUUCACUUUUCUCCAGGACAUGUAAUGGCAACAUCAGUUAAAGAUGGGAAGUGACAUGUUAUAACAAUCAGACUGAGAAUCAUGGGGGUUGGAAGGCAGCUCUGAAGAUCACUUAGUCCAAUUCCCUGCUAAAUCAGGUUCCCUAGAGUUGGUUGCAGCAAAAAGCAUCCAGGUGGAUUAUGAAUAUCUCAAGUGGAGACUUCACAACCUCUCUAGGCAGCCUGUUCCAGUACUCUGUCUCCC
rnacentral:lncRNA from 1 species